rnacentral:rRNA from 1 species
GGGCCCGCACAAGCGGCGGAGCAUGCGGAUUAAUUCGAUGCAACGCGAAGAACCUUACCAAGGCUUGACAUAUAGAGGAAAAGUGUAGAAAUACACUCCCCGCAAGGUCUCUAUACAGGUGGUGCAUGGUUGUCGUCAGCUCGUGUCGUGAGAUGUUGGGUUAAGUCCCGCAACGAGCGCAACCCUCGUCCUAUGUUGCCAGCACGUAAUGGUGGGAACUCAUGGGAUACUGCCGGGGUCAACUCGGAGGAAGGUGGGGAUGACGUCAAAUCAUCAUGCCCCUUAUGUCUUGGGCUUCACGCAUGCUACAAUGGCCGGUACAGAGGGCAGCGAUACCGCAAGGUGGAGCGAAUCCCAAAAAGCCGGUCUCAGUUCGGAUUGAGGUCUGCAACUCGACCUCAUG